rnacentral:rRNA from 1 species
UACGGAGGAUCCGAGCGUUAUCCGGAUUUAUUGGGUUUAAAGGGAGCGUAGGCGGGUUGUUAAGUCAGUUGUGAAAGUUUGCGGCUCAACCGUAAAAUUGCAGUUGAUACUGGCAUCCUUGAGUACAGUAGAGGUAGGCGGAAUUCGUGGUGUAGCGGCGAAAUGCUUAGAUAUCACGAAGAACUCCGAUUGCGAAGGCAGCCUGCUGGACUGUAACUGACGCUGAUGCUCGAAAGUGUGGGUAUCAAACAGG